GACGAACCGUGCGAACGUUGUUCGGAAUUACUGGGCGUAAAGGGCGCGUAGGCGGCCCGCUAAGUCGAACGUGAAAUCCCCAGGCUCAACCUGGGAACUGCGUCCGAUACUGGCAGGCUUGAAUCCGGGAGAGGGAUGUGGAAUUCCAGGUGUAGCGGUGAAAUGCGUAGAUAUCGUAAGGAAGACCAGUGGCGAAGGCGAGUUCCUGGACAGUUACUGACACUGAGGCACGAAGGCCAGGGGAGCAAACGGG
rnacentral:rRNA from 1 species